CCCCCUAGUCCGGCCCGAGUGGGGCCAUGGCGGCCAGCCUGUGGAUGGGCGACCUGGAGCCCUACAUGGAUGAGAACUUCAUCUCCAGAGCCUUUGCCACCAUGGGGGAGACCGUGAUGAGCGU